rnacentral:lncRNA from 1 species
UUUGCAGAUAAACAAUCUUAAAAGGUGUCCAAUGAAUUUAAUGAGUCAAUUUUGAGGUGAAUUCCCUUGAAACAAAUUGUUUGUCUCAACCAUUUAAAGACAUUCCCAUGUUAAACAGCCAAAUUACAGGUAAGAAGUACAAGACAAAAGGAAUGUGAACAACCUUUUGUUACCUGUCCCCGGGCAGUCUUGUUAGCCAUUUCCUUUUCACAAAGUAAUUCCAUCUCUAUAUCAAAGACUUAAUCAUUAAAAUAUUAUCUCUUUUGUAUGCUUCAAUUCUUUACAGAAAUUGUUAGGUAAACUGAACAAUUGGGGCCUGACUGAAGGGAGAAUUAUCAUUUGUUUAAUCAGGUGAUUAAUAUGACAAUACUUUAUUCUGGUAAUAUUAUUUAAUAUCUCCUUGAACAAUUCACUGAUUCAUCGAUAAACUUUAAGGUAGAAGAAUAGUAGAGUAUUUAUCCGACUUCGAGUUCUACUUUUUUACCAUAUAAACAAAGCAUAUAUCAUGGCAUUAUUUAUGCAAAGUAUAUGAAUUUUUAUUCAAUGUAAAAUAUGCAUAGUCACUUUUUGAAACUUUAUUUGCAUAAACUUCAAGAGUUCAAUAUUUUUUCUAUUCUUUGCUUAGUUCAACAGUCCCUUUUUAUGGUUUUUCAAUAAC